AGCGUGAAAAUGCCCAGGGAGGAGAAAAACACUCCCGAACCUUUACGGUAACCUUUCAACCCCCAUAACUUCUCCGUCCGAGCUCCGAUUGCCGCACCGUUUGCGGCCACGCGUCCACCGCGUUGAGCUCUACAUUUCUACCGGAACAAUUUUACUGGAUCCAAUUAGCUUGAGAGAAACGUUCACUCUUGCUUAUGUGAAGCUUGGGUAAGGUUGUGAAUAAAUAAUUGGAGCUUGAAAUUGUGAAUACUGGAACUUGGAGGAAGCGGAUUAGUUGAGUUUUGAGGGGCUGUCUUGGUUUUGAAUAAAUAGCUUUGGUCGUUACGUGGAAAUUGGCUAAGAUGCAGGUUGAGAGGCAUCUCGUUAGGCGUCUGGACUUUUGAAGCGGAGUGGUUACUGGGAUAUUUUGUUAUGCUAUGGUGUAUAUAUAUGUACUUAGCUUUCUCUCCGAAUGACUUAUUCUUUUUGAUCCUCUUAGAGGUUUAUGGAGAGGCAGGAUUGUGUAUAUGUACUUUUGGGUUUGGAUAUGUAUGUAUAUAUGUGUAAAUAUUCU